GGAGCUGGAGCCGGAGCUGAAGCCUGAGCCGGGCUGGAGUCGGGGCGGGGGCCGGGCCGGAGCGGGCUCCAGAGACAUGGGGUCGACCGACUCCAAGCUGAACUUCCGGAAGGCGGUGAUCCAGCUCACCACCAAGACGCAGCCCGUGGAAGCCACCGAUGAUGCCUUUUGGGACCAGUUCUGGGCCGACACAGCCACCUCGGUGCAGGAUGUGUUUGCACUGGUGCCGGCAGCAGAGAUCCGGGCCGUGCGGGAAGAGUCACCCUCCAACUUGGCCACCCUGUGCUACAAGGCCGUUGAGAAGCUGGUGCAGGGAGCCGAGAGUGGCUGCCACUCGGAGAAGGAGAAGCAGAUCGUCCUGAACUGCAGCCGGCUGCUCACCCGCGUGCUCCCCUACAUCUUUGAGGACCCUGACUGGAGGGGCUUCUUCUGGUCCACAGUGCCCGGGGCAGGGCGAGGAGGGGUCUGUGGGCCUGGCCAGGGCUGGGUGGGAGGCAGAGUUGGCGUCACAGGGAGAACGCCCUUUAGGGCCGGCCAUGCUCCUCCAAGCCUCUUCUGGGAUUUGGGAAAUACAGGGGUGGGGCCGGUGGGUGCUGCUGAGGGAUGGUGUUCAACGCCACCUCCUUGGGCCCUCAGUUCCCCUCCCAUGGGGGUUUCUGUGCCCACAGUCCAGAGGAAGUAGGGUGUGGAGAGAA
rnacentral:sRNA from 1 species